GAUGAACGCUAGCGGGAGGCUUAACACAUGCAAGUCGAGGGGCAGCAUAGGGUAGCAAUACUCUGAUGGCGACCGGCAAACGGGUGAGUAACGCGUAUGUAACCUACCCUGUACAGGGGGAUAACCCGGAGAAAUUCGGACUAAUAUCCCAUAACAAUAUCCGGGGGCAUCUUUGGAUAUUUAAAGUUCCGGCGGUACGGGAUGGGCAUGCGUAACAUUAGCUAGUUGGUAAGGUAACGGCUUACCAAGGCUUUGAUGUUUAGGGGUCCUGAGAGGGUGGUCCCCCACACUGGUACUGAGACACGGACCAGACUCCUACGGGAGGCAGCAGUGAGGAAUAUUGGUCAAUGGGCGCAAGCCUGAACCAGCCAUCCCGCGUGCAGGAAGACGGCGCUAUGCGUUGUAAACUGCUUUUCCAGGGAGAGAAACUUGCGCACGUGUUGCGCAAUUGACGGUACCCUGGGAAUAAGCAUCGGCUAACUCCGUGCCAGCAGCCGCGGUAAAACGUCUA
rnacentral:rRNA from 1 species